GGCUCGUUGGUUAGGGGUAUGAUUCUCGCUUUGGGUGUGAGAGGUCCUGGGUUCAAAUCCCGGACGAGCCC
rfam:Danio rerio chromosome 3, GRCz11 reference primary assembly.